UACGGAGGGUGCAAGCGUUAAUCGGAAUUACUGGGCGUAAAGCGCACGCAGGUGGCUGAGUCAGUCGAUUGUGAAAGCCCUGGGCUUAACCUGGGAAUUGCAGUCGAUACUACUCAGCUAGAGUAUGGGAGAGGGUAGUGGAAUUCCCGGUGUAGCGGUGAAAUGCGUAGAGAUGUGGAGGAACACCGAUGGCGAAGGCAGCCCCCUGGGUUAACACUGACGCUCAGGCACGAAAGCGUGGGGAGCAAACAGG
rnacentral:rRNA from 1 species